rnacentral:rRNA from 1 species
UGGCGAACGGGUGAGUAACACGUGAGCAACCUGCCCUGGACUCUGGGAUAAGCGCUGGAAACGGCGUCUAAUACUGGAUAUGAGACGUGAUCGCAUGGUCGUGUUUGGAAAGAUUUUUCGGUCUGGGAUGGGCUCGCGGCCUAUCAGCUUGUUGGUGAGGUAAUGGCUCACCAAGGCGUCGACGGGUAGCCGGCCUGAGAGGGUGACCGGCCACACUGGGACUGAGACACGGCCCAGACUCCUACGGGAGGCAGCAGUGGGGAAUAUUGCACAAUGGGCGGAAGCCUGAUGCAGCAACGCCGCGUGAGGGAUGACGGCCUUCGGGUUGUAAACCUCUUUUAGCAGGGAAGAAGCGAAAGUGACGGUACCUGCAGAAAAAGCGCCGGCUAACUACGUGCCAGCAGCCGCGGUAAUACGUAGGGCGCAAGCGUUAUCCGGAAUUAUUGGGCGUAAAGAGCUCGUAGGCGGUUUGUCGCGUCUGCUGUGAAAUCCCGAGGCUCAACCUCGGGCCUGCAGUGGGUACGGGCAGACUAGAGUGCGGUAGGGGAGAUUGGAAUUCCUGGUGUAGCGGUGGAAUGCGCAGAUAUCAGGAGGAACACCGAUGGCGAAGGCAGAUCUCUGGGCCGUAACUGACGCUGA